rnacentral:rRNA from 1 species
AUGGCGACGGAGUCGGAAGGGGACAUGGAGUUCCUCUGGAAGUGGCGCAAGUACCUGCUGCUGCUCGCCACGCUGGUCGCCAGCGUCACCUACGGCGCCGGCCUCAACCCGCCCGGCGGCGUGUGGUCCAAGGACCACGAUGGAGGCAACACCCCACAGCAGCGCGCCGGCGCCGUCCUGCCACCAGCGCCCCCGUCUCUUGCGGUGGCCCCGGCGCCGGCGGCCUACCCAUUCCGCGUCGGCGACCCCGUGCUCGUGCACACCUACGCGGACAGGUACACCGCCUUCUUCUACUGCAACGCGGCCGCCUUCGUCGCCUCCCUGGUCAUCAUCAUAUUCCUGCUGGACCGGCGUAUCAGCGGCAACCGUGUCGGCCUCACCGUGCUCCGCUCCGCCAUGCUGCUCGACCUGCUCGCGCUCAUGGCCGCCUUCGCCGCCGGCAGCUGCCGCAGCGUGGUUGGGUCCAUCUACGUCUCCGCGCUCUUCGCCCUCGUCUUCGCCUACGUCGCCAUACACGUCCGCUUGGAAAGGAGCAAGGAACCGGCAGACGAGAGCCACCUCAAGGAGCGCCGCAAGUUCCUGCUGCUGCUCGCCACCUUCGCCACGCCGCUGACAUACGGCGCCGGACUGGCGCCACCGGGAGGCUUCUGGAGCGAGACCGGGGCGGGGCACCGCGCCGGCGCCCCGCUGCUGCACGAUGGGCCAUACAAGAUCCGCUAUCACGCCUUCUUCUACGCCAACGCCAACUCCUUCGUCGCUUCUCUUGCCAUCAUCAUGCUGCUCACGAGCAGCACGCUGAGCGGCCGCCUCGCCAGGUCCUACGCGCUGCCGGUGUGUGUGCUGGUGGAGCUGCUGGGCCUCAUGGCCGCCUACGCCGCCGGCAGCUGCAGGUGGAUCACCACCACCGUGUACAUCGCCUGCCUUGUUGGCGCGGUGUUCCUGUACAUCCUGCUGCAGGCGGUCAUCGCAGGGUACGUCUCCGGCAUACACAAGGAAUGGACGCAGAGUAAUAAUCCAAAUAAUGAAGAAAAAGCAGUGCAACAGGGAGGUGUGACCAGGAGACUCGAAAGCAACAAUGGGCAGCAGGGUGCGGAGAAGGUGGAAGAGUCACGGUCGCUCCUGCUGCUACUGGCGACACUGGCGGCGACGGUGACUUACCAGGCAGGCCUGAGCCCGCCGGGCGGCGUCUGGCCGGAAGGCCAUCUGGAUAGCAGUCACACUGCCGGAAACCCGGUGCUCCACGACAUUAACCCCAAGAGGUAUAAGGCUUUCUACCACUGCAACACGGCGGCGUUCGUGGCGUCGCUGGUAGUCAUCGUAAUUGUCCAGAGCAAGGAGCUGAGCUCCGGCGCCGUCGUCAGACGCGCCGCGCUUAACACGGUCAUGAUACUGGACUUGUUCGGCCUCAUGGGCGCCUACGUUGCGGGGAGCUGCCGGGACGGCACAACCACCAUCUACGUUGCCUCCCUAGCCGUCGCCAUCUUCGUCUACUCCAUCGCCAAGGUCGUGGCGUUCUCGGCUAAGGGCAAGCACAGCAAGCUGACGCGUUGCGUGCAAAGCAUGUGCGAUAACCUUGCACGAUUGCUCCGCCUCACCUCCGACGUGUCAUCGCAGCAAUGGAAAGGGGGACAAGCUCAAGGAGCGGUGCAUGUUCCUACUGCUGCUGAUCACCUUCAAGGUGAGCUCGACUUGGAGUCCAAGAGUAAGCAUAUUCUUGAAGGUGAAAAGCGUAGUCUUGAGAGGAAGCGCAAGUUCUUGCUGCAGCUCGCCAUACUCGCGGCCACUGUCACGUACCAAACCGGGUUGAACCCGCCAGGUGGCUUCUGGACGGAGAGCGACGGGGGAAAAUCGGUCACCGCCGGUGACCCAGUCCUCCUCGACCACUACAGGGUCAGGUACCAAGUGUUCUUUUACUGCAACGCGACGGGCUUCAUGGCAUCCGUCGCCGUCAUCCUGCUCCUGGUGAACCAGACACUGUCCAAGCAAGGCAUUCGGAGUCACGCACUCCAUGUCUGCAUCUUGGUUGGACUCCUGGGCCUCAUGGGGGCUUACGCCGCCGGCAGCUGCCGGAAGCUGCGAACCUCAAUCUAUGUCUUUGCGCUUGUGGCCGCGGUGGUCGCCUUCCUCCUCCUGCAAAUCCUACUUUAUGUGUUCGCGGACCGCGACCACUGGUUAGAUCGGCUGCCACGGCUUCCUUCGCGGGUGAAGGUGCUAUUCAAGCCGCUCUGGACAGGGCCGACCGGCUCAAGCAAGGACAAGAGCAAGGAGGAUAAACCGGAGAGCGAGAGGUACCUGAAGCGAAAGUACCUGAUGGUUCUCGGCAUCCUGGCGGCGAGCGUGACGUACCAGGCUGGUCUCGCGCCUCCCGGCGGCACGUGGGGCGACGACGAUACCGCUUCGCCGUCGCCCUUGCCGUCGCCAUCGGCACACCCACCCACCGUCGCCGGCAACCCGAUCCUGCUUGAUUUCAACGCUCCACGGUACCAGGCAUUCUUCUACUGCAACGCCACGUCGUUCGUGGCCUCCAUCGUUGUCAUCAUGCUGUUGCUGCAGCGCACCCUGAAGCCACACGGCGCGCCACUUUGGGCGAUGCAGACCGCCGUGUUGCUGGACCUGCUGGGCCUACUGGGCGCCUACGCCGCCGGCAGCUGUAGGGACUGGGAGACGUCGAUCUACGUCAUCACACUCGUCGCCAUUGUGGUCCUCUUCAUCGCGCUGCACGUGCUGCUGUCAUUCGACGUCGUAUUUAAGAAGGCCAAGGAGCUCAUGCCCAACAAGUGCGUUGAAGUCGAUGAUAAGGCCAGCCGCAAUGACAAGUUGACCAUUGCAUAG